rfam:Picea glauca, whole genome shotgun sequence.
GCAACUGGCCAAGUGGGCUUGAUUGUGGGGAAAACUCCACAGUUAAGUGCGCUUGAGCCAGAGGCGUCUUGGGAUGGGUGACCACCUGGGAAGUCCUGGUUACCGGGUGCA